rnacentral:rRNA from 1 species
AAUGCUCAGUAACUCGUAGCCAACCUACCCUUAGGUCAAGGAUACCCUCGGGAAACUGAGGCUAAUACUUGAUGAGAUAUACCCUGGAAUGAUGUAUCUCUGAAACUUGAGCCUAAGGAUGGGGCUGCGGCGGAUUAGGUUGUUGGCGGGGUAAUAGCCCACCAAGCCAAAAAUCCGUAAGGGCUCUUAGCGGAGAACCCCUGAGAGGGAAUCUGAGACACUAUUCCCAGCCCUACGGGGUGCAGCAGUUAGGAAUAUUCUGCAAUGCGCGAAAGCGUGACAGAUUGAACCAGAGUGUCUUUCAAAUGAAAGACUUUUAUCAAAUGUAAAAAGUUUGAAGAAUAAGGACUGGGUAAGACUAAUGCCAGCCGCCGCGGUAAUACUAGCGGUCCAAGUCGCAGCCAUUUUAUUGGGUCUAAAACAUCCGUAGCUUGCUUAGUAAGUUUCCUGUGAGAUUUUAUCUCUUAAAGGUAGAGAGUGCAGGAAAUACUGCUAAGCUAGAGACUGGAAGACGUAAGAAGUACGACAAAAGUAGUGGUAAAAUACGUUAAUCGCUUGUCGGCACUCACAACAGCGAAGGCAUCUUACGAGGACAGUUCUGACAUGUAAGGGAUGAAGGUCUAGGGGCGCUAAAGAMGGAUUAGCAUACCCGUGUAGUCCUAGCAGUAAACUCUGCACACUAAACAUUAGUACCUCUUCGAGAGGUAUUCGGUGCUGAUAGGGAAGCCGAAGAGUGUGCAUACCUGGGAAGUAUAGUCGACAAGGCCGAAACUUAAAGGUAAUUGGCGGGGGAGCAC